UAGAGUUUGAAUCCUGGCUCAGAUUGAACGCUGGCGGCAGGCCUAACACAUGCAAGUCGAACGGUAGCACAGAGGAGCUUGCUCCUUGGGUGACGAGUGGCGGACGGGUGAGUAAUGUCUGGGAAACUGCCCGAUGGAGGGGGAUAACUACUGGAAACGGUAGCUAAUACCGCAUAACGUCGCAAGACCAAAGAGGGGGACCUUCGGGCCUCUUGCCAUCGGAUGUGCCCAGAUGGGAUUAGCUAGUAGGUGGGGUAACGGCUCACCUAGGCGACGAUCCCUAGCUGGUCUGAGAGGAUGACCAGCCACACUGGAACUGAGACACGGUCCAGACUCCUACGGGAGGCAGCAGUGGGGAAUAUUGCACAAUGGGCGCAAGCCUGAUGCAGCCAUGCCGCGUGUAUGAAGAAGGCCUUCGGGUUGUAAAGUACUUUCAGCGAGGAGGAAGGUGUUGUGGUUAAUAACCGCAGCAAUUGACGUUACUCGCAGAAGAAGCACCGGCUAACUCCGUGCCAGCAGCCGCGGUAAUACGGAGGGUGCAAGCGUUAAUCGGAAUUACUGGGCGUAAAGCGCACGCAGGCGGUCUGUCAAGUCGGAUGUGAAAUCCCCGGGCUCAACCUGGGAACUGCAUCCGAAACUGGCAGGCUAGAGUCUUGUAGAUGGGGGGUAGAAUUCCAGGUGUAGCGGUGAAAUGCGUAGAGAUCUGGAGGAAUACCGGUGGCGAAGGCGGCCCCCUGGACAAAGACUGACGCUCAGGUGCGAAAGCGUGGGGAGCAAACCGGAU
rnacentral:rRNA from 1 species